rnacentral:lncRNA from 1 species
UUCACCGCAGCAGCCCCAGCUCCCGCGCCCUCCCUGGACUGAGGUGUGCUCGCUUUGAGGAGAAGCCUGGAGUGAUCCGCUGCCUCGGGUCGGAACGUGAGAAGGCAACUUCUUCAUGAACUCGAACAUCCUUUGCAAUCCUGUAUCAGAUACUUGGCAGGGUUUAAAAAAACAUGGCACCUCUUAUAACUUUUCACCCCCAAUAAUAUGUUUUAUCUGCUAAUAAAAUAAUUAUUUGGUAAAAC